rnacentral:rRNA from 1 species
GUGAGGGAUAUUGGUCAAUGGGGGCAACCCUGAACCAGCAACGCCGCGUGAGGGAAGACGGUUUUCGGAUUGUAAACCUCUGUCCUCUGUGAAGAUAAUGACGGUAGCAGAGGAGGAAGCUCCGGCUAACUACGUGCCAGCAGCCGCGGUAAUACGUAGGGAGCGAGCGUUGUCCGGAUUUACUGGGUGUAAAGGGUGCGUAGGCGGCCCUGCAAGUCAGAAGUGAAAUCCAUGGGCUUAACCCGUGAACUGCUUUUGAAACUGCAGGACUUGAGUGGAGUAGAGGUAGGCGGAAUUCCCGGUGUAGCGGUGAAAUGCGUAGAGAUCGGGAGGAACACCAGUGGCGAAGGCGGCCUACUGGGCUUUAACUGACGCUGAAGCACGAAAGCGUGGGUAGCAAACAGG